CGGCAAAAGGGUGAGUAACGCGUAAGUAAUCCGCCUUCAAGCCGGGGAUAGCAUCGUGAAAACGGUGGUAAUACCCGAUGUUAUCGGUAGCCUGCAUGGGCAGCCGAUCAAAGACGGGGACCGCAAGGCCUGUCACUUGAGGAUGAGCUUGCGUACCAUCAGCUAGUUGGUAGGGUAAUGGCCUACCAAGGCUAAGACGGUUAGCUGGACUGAGAGGUUGACCAGCCACAUUGGGACUGAGACACUGCCCAGACUCCUACGGGAGGCUGCAGUCGAGAAUAUUUAGCAAUGGACGAAAGUCUGACUAUGCGACGCCGCGUGCAGGAUGAAGGUCUUCGGAUUGUAAACUGCUUUUGUUUGGGGCGAAACCUCCGACGUUAACAGCGUCGGAGCUGACGGUACCAGGCGAAUAAGCCACGGCCAACUCCGUGCCAGCAGCCGCGGUAAUACGGAGGUGGCAAGCGUUACUCGGAAUUAUUGGGUGUAAAGGGCAGGUAGGCGGCUAGGUAAGUGAGGGGUGAAAUCCCACGGUUCAAUCGUGGAACAGCCUUUCAAACUGCCUGGCUUGAGUGUGACAGGGGAAGAUGGAAUUCUCGGUGUAAGGGUGAAAUCUGUAGAUAUCGGGAAGAACACCAACGGCGAAGGCAAUCUUCUGGGUCACUACUGACGCUGAGCUGCGAAAGCUAGGGGAGCAAACAGAAUUAGAUACUCUGGUAGUCCUAGCCGUAAACGAUGAGUACUAGGUGUUGGGCCCUUCGGGGCUCGGUGCCGAAGCUAACGCAUUAAGUACUCCACCCGGGGACUACGGUCGCAAGGCUAAAACUCAAAGGAAUUGACGGGGGCCCGCACAAGCGGUGGAACAUGUGGUUUAAUUCG
rnacentral:rRNA from 1 species